GAGGGUGUAGCUCAAGUGGUAGAGCGCCUGCUUAGCAUGCAUGAGGUCCUGGGUUCAAUCCCCAGUUCCUCCU
rnacentral:tRNA from 1 species